rnacentral:rRNA from 1 species
UACGAAGGGGGCUAGCGUUGCUCGGAAUCACUGGGCGUAAAGCGCACGUAGGCGGCUUUCUAAGUCAGGGGUGAAAUCCUGGAGCUCAACUCCAGAACUGCCUUUGAUACUGGGAAGCUCGAGUCCGGAAGAGGUAAGUGGAACUCCGAGUGUAGAGGUGAAAUUCGUAGAUAUUCGCAAGAACACCAGUGGCGAAGGCGGCUCACUGGCCCGGUACUGACGCUGAGGUGCGAAAGCGUGGGGAGCAAACAGG